UUUUCUGGCGCUGGCUCCUCUUGGUCAGUGCGGUUUCGCCUUUAUGGUGGUGGAGUACGCCCAAGCUGUGGUGAGUUCCGCCUGGUUGGCCGUCCGGGAGAUAGCAGAGGGAGGCAAAGGAAUGAUUGCGUGCUGUCGCCUAGGAGCCUCUCAGAUCCGCUUCACUUCACUCGCUUCUCCAGGGACUAUCAGUCCUCCCUGUGCAGCCAGUUCAGAGAGGCUGCACACUCUCUCGGCUCACUGCAACCUCUGCCUCCAGGGUCAAGCAGUUCUCCUGCCUCAGCCUUCCGAGUACCUGGGAUUACAGGACAGCAAAUAACCCUGUACAAAGGGGAAUGGAGAUUGCCUCUAUCCACCUAGAUUCAUAAGAUGCCCUGAGGUGAUCUUGGCAUCACGGAAGGUAUGCACAUCACACCAUCAGCUUCAGAGAAUGGCAGCCAUUUAUUUGUCCCGUGGGUUUUUUUCCAGGGAACCAAUCUGCCCUUUUGAAGAAAAGACAGAGGUAGAAAGGAUGGUGGAGGACUACCUGGCAAACGGUUAUCAGUGAAUAUUGGUGGAAGUGUUCAUUG
rnacentral:sRNA from 1 species